rnacentral:rRNA from 1 species
GAUCAUGGCUCAGGACGAACGCUGGCGGCGUGCUUAACACAUGCAAGUCGAACGAGAAUCUGUGGAAAGAGGAUUCGUCCAAUUGAAGCAGAGGACAGUGGCGGACGGGUGAGUAACGCGUGAGGAACCUGCCUUUCAGAGGGGGACAACAGUUGGAAACGACUGCUAAUACCGCAUAACAUAUAGAUGUCGCAUGGCAUUUAUAUCAAAGAUUUAUCGCUGAAAGAUGG